AUUGAACGCUAGCGGGAUGCCUUACACAUGCAAGUCGAACGGAGUGGCGAACGGGUGAGUAAUGUAUCGGAACGUGCCCAGUAGCGGGGGAUAACUACGCGAAAGAGUCGCUAAUACCGCAUGCUAUUGAAGCGGCCGAUAUCGGAUUAGCUAGUUGGUGGGGUAAGGGCUCACCAAGGCGACGAUCCGUAGCUGGUUUGUGAGGAUGACCAGCCAAACUGGGACUGAGACACGGCCCAGACGCCUACGGGAGGCAGCAGUGGGGAAUAUUGGACAAUGGGGGAAACCCUGAUCCAGCCAUCCCGCGUGGGUGAUGAAGGCCUUCGGGUUGUAAAGUACUUUUGGCAGGAAAGCGGUACCUGCAGAAGAAGCACCGGCUAACUACGUGCCAGCAGCCGCGGUAAUUC
rnacentral:rRNA from 1 species